rnacentral:rRNA from 1 species
AAUCCAUAGGUUAAUGAGGCGAACCGGGGGAACUGAAACAUCUAAGUACCCCGAGGAAAAGAAAUCAACCGAGAUUCCCCCAGUAGCGGCGAGCGAACGGGGAGGAGCCCAGAGCCUGAAUCAGCAUGUGUGUUAGUGGAAGCGUCUGGAAAGGCGCGCGAUACAGGGUGACAGCCCCGUACACAAAAGCGCAUGUGCUGUGAGCUCGAUGAGUAGGGCGGGACACGUGGUAUCCUGUCUGAAUAUGGGGGGACCAUCCUCCAAGGCUAAAUACUCCUGACUGACCGAUAGUGAACCAGUACCGUGAGGGAAAGGCGAAAAGAACCCCGGCGAGGGGAGUGAAAAAGAACCUGAAACCGUGUACGUACAAGCAGUGGGAGCACCCUUUGGGGUGUGACUGCGUACCUUUUGUAUAAUGGGUCAGCGACUUAUAUUCUGUAGCAAGGUUAACCGUAUAGGGGAGCCGCAGGGAAACCGAGUCUUAAUUGGGCGUUAAGUUGCAGGGUAUAGACCCGAAACCCGGUGAUCUAGCCAUGGGCAGGUUGAAGGUUGGGUAACACUAACUGGAGGACCGAACCGACUAAUGUUGAAAAAUUAGCGGAUGACCUGUGGCUGGGGGUGAAAGGCCAAUCAAACCGGGAGAUAGCUGGUUCUCCCCGAAAGCUAUUUAGGUAGCGCCUCGUGAAUUCAUCUCCGGGGGUAGAGCACUGUUUCGGCUAGGGGGCCAUCCCGGCUUACCAACCCGAUGCAAACUGCGAAUACCGGAGAAUGUUAUCACGGGAGACACACGGCGGGUGCUAACGUCCGUCGUGAAGAGGGAAACAACCCAGACCGCCAGCUAAGGUCCCAAAGUCAUGGUUAAGUGGGAAACGAUGUGGGAAGGCCCAGACAGCCAGGAUGUUGGCUUAGAAGCAGCCAUCAUUUAAAGAAAGCGUAAUAGCUCACUGGUCGAGUCGGCCUGCGCGGAAGAUGUAACGGGGCUAAACCAUGCAC